rnacentral:lncRNA from 1 species
CCUUGGUUGAGGUGUUGAUCUCACUUUCUCUCAGAUGCUCUCUGCGGAGGAGGAGAAGACGGAAAAUCUGAGCCCAUCGUUCAUGGACCUGUUCCGCUCGCCGACUCUGCGGAAGUACACAUUCAUCCUGAUGUACCUGUGGUUCACCUGCUCGGUGAUCUACCAGGGUCUCAUCUUGCACAUUGGGGCCACCAGCGAAAACCCCUACCUGGAUUUCUUAUACUCCUCCCUGGUCGAAUUCCCUGCAGCCUUCAUCAUCGUUGUCACCAUUGACCGAGUUGGCCGCAUCCGUCCUCUGGCUCUGUCCAAUUUUGUGGCAGGAGCAGCCAGUUUAACCAUCAUUUUUGUCCCACCUGGUCUGGGCUGGCUACAAAUCAGUUUGGCUUGUUUGGGCCGGAUGGGAAUCACAAUUGUGUUGCAAGUGGCUUGCCUGGUGAACGCAGAGCUGUAUCCUACCUUCAUC